CGCUGGCGGCGUGCUUAACACAUGCAAGUCGAACGGUAAGGCCCUUCGGGGUACACGAGUGGCGAACGGGUGAGUAACGCGUGAGUAACCUGCCCUUCACUCUGGGAUAACAGUUGGAAACGGCUGCUAAUACCGGAUAUUCAGCUCCUGUCGCAUGGUGGGGGUUGGAAAGUUUUGGUGGUGGAGGAUGGGCUCGCGUCCUAUCAGCUUGUUGGUGGGGUGAUGGCCUACCAAGGCGUCGACGGGUAGCCGGCCUGAGAGGGCGACCGGCCACAUUGGGACUGAGAUACGGCCCAAACUCCUACGGGAGGCAGCAGUGGGGAAUAUUGCACAAUGGGCGGAAGCCUGAUGCAGCAACGCCGCGUGCGGGAUGACGGCCUUCGGGUUGUAAACCGCUUUCAGCAGGGACGAAGCGUGAGUGACGGUACCUGCAGAAGAAGCACCGGCUAACUACGUG
rnacentral:rRNA from 1 species